UACGUAGGGGGCUAGCGUUGUCCGGAAUCAUUGGGCGUAAAGCGCGUGUAGGCGGUCCGGUAAGUCCGCUGUGAAAGUCGGGGGCUCAACCCUCGAAUGCCGGUGGAUACUGUCGGGCUAGAGUCCGGAAGAGGCGAGUGGAAUUCCUGGUGUAGCGGUGGAAUGCGCAGAUAUCAGGAGGAACACCAAUGGCGAAGGCAGCUCGCUGGAACGGUACUGACGCUGAGGCGCGAAAGCGUGGGGGAGCGAACAGG
rnacentral:rRNA from 1 species